rnacentral:piRNA from 1 species
UAACCGAAAGGUUGGUGGUU